UCUGAAGUCUCUUGGUACUUUGUAAGAUUGAGCUCAUUUUGCACUUAAUGCAUGUGUUGAGAUAGACUCGAUGGAAUCACCUACAUGAUCAUAAAGGUUUGGUUGCCUUUUACGGAAGACUUGGGUAGUCUUUCUAAAGGGCUCACGAUACAAUGGUCAAGCAAAAGAGAGGAAGUUUCAAGUAUCUUGGAUCUAUUAUCCAAGGUAACUGGGAG
rnacentral:misc_RNA from 1 species